rnacentral:lncRNA from 1 species
AUGUUGUUGCUACCAUAUACAAUUUAAGGAAAAAAGAAAAUUUAUCUAAAACACAUUUGGAAUUUCAGAAUAUCAUAGGUCAAUGCUGCUUCACAUAGAAAAAUUUAGUAAGCAGCUUUACUGGAUAUGUGUUCCAUGUGUGUACAUAUGUGUGUUGAGAAGAGGUUGUAGACCAACACCAUCUCUGGAUAUUAAAGUCAUUUUAAAAGCAAUCUAAGUAUCACUAUGCCUUGAAAAACUUCACACAGUCAGGUGAAUAUUAAUUUGCUUCUUUAUAGACAGUAACCCUCUCUUUAGGAGAAACUGUAAAGCUCUGAAACACUGCUCUGUUUACUACUAGAGAAAAAAAAAACUGGUAAUCACUAUCACUUUAUGGUCAUUUGUGCAGGGGUUCAUUUAUUUUCUGUAGUUCAAGUCAGAAAUACAAUGAAUACAAAUCUGUCUCUUUAUAGAGGGUAAGCUUCUCUUUAUGAGAAAUGUUAAGGCUCUAAAAUAUUGCCUUGUUAACUAUGAGAUAGAAAACUUAACUAUUAUUACUUUAUGGUCAUUUCUGCAUGGAUUCAUUUAUUUUCAGUACUUCAAGUCAAAGUUAUGAUGAUGAAUGAUGGUCUUUCAUAGCUAUUGUUUGAGUAGCUAUUAUAUGCUACUUGCUUUUAUGAUUUUUUCUAGUUUUUAUAAAAACCUUCCUCUUAAAUACUACACUUCAAAUGGUCAUGUCUAUUGUUACUAUAUUAAUCUUACAGAUGGGGAUAUUGAGGCUUAUACAGAGAGGUAACAUUCACAAGUUCAUGGCUAGUAAAGAAUGUGACAUCUAGGAUUUGAUCUGUUUCUGACCGAUCUUAAGUACUGGAACUGAGCCUGUGUCUUUGUACAAUAUGAUAAAUUUUAAUAUACGGAGUCACAUUGUCAGUUUUAAGUAAAUGUACUAAAUCUAGGACUUUGUCAUAGAUGUAUAUGGCUCAAAAACAACUUGCCUUCCAAAUGCUUGCCAGAAAUUUAUGCUAUAACAUAUGAUUUUCUUUUUUAAUAAGAUGGUGAAAUUCCAACUAUAGUGAAAUUUUGUGGGGACUUUAGGUCUAAACAAAUAAAAUAUAAUACAAAUAUGAAUCAAAAUAU